GAAAGAAGGGUGGCUUCUGCAGAUGAUGUGUGCCUAACUCUAAAGUUUUCAUUUCUCUGACUAAAAGGGGUACUAGGGCUUUAAUGUGCUGCUUCAAUCCGGCAUGAUUUUAACGGCAAUGAUGCGGUUGUCGAGACAGUUAUUAACGAGGAGAUCAACGGUGAGCUUUGAUGGAGGUAUCGUUUUCAAUUGAUAAUCGGAUGGUUUAGAUUACUUUUGCCAGCUGUAGUUAGUUAUAGUUCAGUGUAUAAAAGAUGUAAUUUGUCACAAUAAUUGUAUGAUUUUUGAGGCUAUUGAAUGAAACUUAAGGUAUUAUUCGUUCUUCUUCUCUCUGUAUUGUCUUGAGUGCUUAUGUUGAUGAUAACAGUUUUGUUUUUAGGGUUCUUGGUGUUUGAUAGUUAAUUAUGCUUUCUCUGUGAUUCUGAUUGCUUAAAGUAGUUUAAUGGAUUCUCGGAGAAGUUCUUUUUGGUAUAUCUGUUGCUGGAGGUGUUGAAUUAGGUCCUCUGGAUUCUUGAGGACCACAUCAAUAUGAUCACGCUUUUGUGGCACGAUGCAUUUAAGACCAAGCAAAGGGCCAGUCAGCAGAACAUUCAUCUGGAGAAGGCGACAGUGUUGUUUAAUUUGGGGGCAGUGUACAGUCAGAUUGGGUUGUCCUUUGAUCACGCCACCAUGGAGGGGCGGCGGGAGGCAUCACGUGCAUUCAUUGUGGCAGCCGGAGCCUUUCCUUAUUUGAGAGAUAAUGCGUCCACAAAGGUGAGUAUGGGGAGCUCCAUGAUGCUGUAUAUCAGCCUCAUGUGCGCCAGAAUGUUGGAGAGAUUGAUGCUGGCCCAAGCUCAAGGGUGUGUGUUUGAGAAUAUGAUUGCUAAAGGGAGUACGCCUGGUGUUUGCACUAAAAUUUCUAGACAAGUUAGUGCUUUUUUUGAAGCUUUGAUUGAUUUAUUAAUUAAUCAAUUUAGUAAAUGUUUUUAUAUAUUGAAUUGUGAUGAAUUGAAAAACUAUUUCACAUAAGUUUAGAUUGUGUAAAUAUAUAGGUUUUACAGUGUUUAACUUUUAGGAUAUUAAAUAUGUAAAGAUUGCAUAUAUAUUUGGAUUUUGUAGUGCAUGAUUUGUGAGGUUUAAGGUUAUGUUAUCUUAUUGAUCUGUUUGUUUUAAUAAUAAAAUUUGAGCAAUAUUAGUAGUGUAAGCUGUGAUUAGUACGGUUAUGAAGGUGACUAGAGUUUUGAUGGUGAGUUUGUUGAUUUAAGGAUGAAAUUUUUUUAGGAAAGGUGAGGGAUAGUGUUGUUGGGUUUUUCCGGUGUGAUUUUGAUGUAAAAGCCAUUUUUUUUAUACUGUCUGUUACUGACAUCUCAGGCGUCAUUCUUGCCGGUAAGUAGUUCUUCUUCCCAAUUUGUUAAUUAUAUGCAAUUCUUACAUAUAUCAUAGUUAUCUGUCUUAAUCUUGAAAAAGUGAUUAAGUUGCUUCAUUGUGGCGUUUUAUCAGCCUGCUGACAUUUAUAAUUGCAGAGCACGUUUUAUAUACAUGGAUCCCGAGUCAAGUCAUGCUGUUGUUGGUUGGGCUGCAAAAACCUUUUCAACAGCAGUGUUUUUCAUAUAUGAGCAGAUCCUCCCAGAUGACGCUUUUGGGCAGCAAAUGAUCAAAUUUUUAUAUUUGUUUGAUGCUGAUGCUUUAUAAAAAUCACAUUUUUUAUUGUUGAUUUCUUAUGUGUACUCUUAUUUUUAUAAUUCUAUUUGAUGCUCCAGAGUGCUGUUGCCUGGGACAUGCUGAAAGUUUAUAUCAAUUUUGUUGAUGCUCAAGAGAGACGCAAGUAUACGUAUUUUGAAAAUUGUUUGCACCAGUAUGAUUCCAGAGGCAUUGAUAUGGAAAAUGAGCUUUAGACAGUAAUAAUUGAUUGUUUUACAAUACUAUUUGCUGUCUAGCUAAAUUUUUUUUCUUUUUUAACUGAUUGUCCAUAAUUGUUAUAAAAACUUUGUCUCUGCAUGUUUUUCCCUGAAAUAUGUGUUGUUUUCUUGUUUAGUUUAUGUGACAAGCAUGAUCAUCGUAGUUUCUUCAAUAAGAUGUUUUCUUAAAUAAUGUCUCUGAGAAACUGAAAACAAUAGACAUCCACGAACAUUUUUUGGUCUAAAUAGAGAACCAUGAGGAAACUCACCUGUCUUUCCCUGUCCUCAGGUGGAAGCCAGGGGUCAGUUGCAGAGCACUUAGGAGGUAGCAGAGAGGGUGCUUUAGGCUGCUUAUCCAAGACAUGUGCUGUUUCAACUUUAGGUUUUGGCUUCUCUUCUAUCUUUUCAGCCAGAGAUGGCUUACAAGCAGCUCUCUCUGGUAUUUUCUCCAAGGGAGCUACACCUUCACCAGAUUUUGAAAUGAUAGCAAUUUUGAAGCCUGGUUCUACAGUUUCUCCUUUGGCAACAAGCUGCAAGAAAUUAAAACGCAGAAGCUAGCAGCAACAUUAAUAAAUCCAAACCACGGGUGUUCGGGCUUGGUUUGAUUCAUAUCUAGCCUUAGUUUUUUAUAAACCCUUAAAACCAAUUAGGACGGGUUUAUAAGUUUUUUAGUAAGAAAUUCAAAAACCUACAGUUGAAAAUAUACCUUUGUUUAGUUUUAACAAGAAUAUAAAUAAUCCAAUUAUUUAGGGUA